ensembl:lncRNA
CUGGAUGGGAAAAUAAACGAGGGCUGAAGUCAGCUUCCUUGAUAUUUUAACAUUCCGUUUUAAUAUCAACUCCUCCUUUAAGAUCCGUAAACAUCGGGAGGAACGGCCUUGCUCCUUUUCUGCAGUGAGCUGGCUCUUUAUGUUUCUAAAUUCUCAACAACCUGCUGUGCUCAUCUGCCACUGUCCCUGGACCUGCAGAUUUCUGUCUCUUCUCUGCCACAUUUCCUCUGAUGCCACUCUAUCUUUAUUUUGAGAGAGAGGAGCUUUUAUUUCCAACAGCGGGAGAUAGAGUCAUGACAUAAAUGCUUGUAAUCCAGACCACGAUUUCAGGAGUACCAAAUUCCAGGUUCAGAUCAUCUGCUCUGGAAUAGACUCCCUCAUGGUCAAAAUUGGACAGAGCUCUGCUAGCCUCCAGGUACAUAUCCGUCCUGCACGCCAAUGGGCUCAGCCUGGAAAGACUACAUGUUAUUUACUGAGUAGCAGGCCGUGCUAGUGUUGCCUGGGAGAAUCAUUUACUGUUGCCUGGUAAAUAAAUCCAGCUGCUCUAUUCUCUAAGGCAGCCUGGAUGCAGGGAGAAGCGGACAGGCAGCGGGCUCAGUUGCCAGCAGCUGCAAAUCAGAGCUUACUCCCUGGUGAGACAGACAGUGCAGGGCCCGGGGAAGAACGCCUGGUGGGUUUUCUCUGCCUGGAGCAUCUUUGAGAAGGCACGUUUCAUCCACCCAUAAGGUAGAUUGCUCUCUCCAUGUCCAUCCAGUUUGCAAAGGCAGACUUAAGAGAGACAGAAGAAAUGCCUUCUCCACGGGCAGAUGGAGUGAGCAGUGUAGAAUCCAUGACCACAGUUCAAGGCAUCUCAGAGACUCAUUUCUGAAGCCAGGGCAGAAGAAUCGUGCUGCAUCUCUACGGAAACGAACUGGGACUGGUGGAUCAACAGUUAUUACAGAAGUUGAAAGAAGGAAGGAAAGAAGAAAACAUGAGUAGCAGAUGAAGAGAAACCCAUCAUGUUAUGUCUUUUUGCUUCUCGCUGCACCCUCACUCCAGGGAGACUCAGUGCAUGAGAUUCCUCGACAGUCUCCUGAGUGACCUUGGACCUGGCAUCCUUCUCCUGCCACCCCUCCCUCCAGCAUCUUUUGGGCUGAGGAGUGAUUUUAAGAAAGAGAGCUUUGCCCCAAGUGUCCACUGACAGAGGAAUGGAUAAAGAAGAUGUGGUACAUGUAUGCAAUGGAAUACUACUCAGCCAUAAAAAAGAAUGACAUCAUGCCAUUUGCAGCCACGUGGAUGGACCUAGGGAUUAUCAACACUAUGUGAAAGCUUAAUCCGUAACUGCUGGCACGCUUGUGCUCUGCUCCCCCCGCCCCCGCCCCGCUGCUGGUUGCCUUGGUAACUGACGACGUCAGUUCCUGUAGAAAGAGUGGCCUCCUUUUGCCCCCAGGAACACAGAUGGUUGGUGCGUCCUGCUCAGCGUCCACCGCACAUAGUGGGGGCGUCCCUCCCGGACUUGGCUUCAGACGCAUACGUUCCGCUCUAUUAAAGCACCGAUGUCCCUCUCACAGGCCUGGGCUCCUUCGCCGCCCUGGAAGCUGGGCACCUCCAAAGUUCACAGGCGUGCAGGGUGCAGCCCAGCAAUUCGGAGCUAGCUGGGGGUGCCGGAAACUCCACCAGCGCCGAGAUGUCGGGAAACGAGGACAGGGAACGGAACGCUGCAGGGACAAUCUGGAGAAUCCAUGCGGUAGCACGUGGAGCCCUGUGCAGCUGAGCGCGCCUUUCUCUUUCAUGAUAUCAAGGAUAUUCCGUCAGCCUCAGAAUCUCUUUCCCAUGGAAAAGGAGCAGCCCCGGGCUCAUGGCUCCUCUGAACACCUGGGGUCGGCGGGUGAAUACAGACAAAAAUGCAAGGACUUAGAUUAUCUACAAAAUUCAAGUGUGUGCGGGACCUACCUCCCCUCAACAAUUACAGACAGAGGCUGUGGCGAUAUCAGCUCAGGACAGAGUGGUGGAUGGGACGUGGCCACUUAACCUGAGGAUCGGGGACUGCGGCAACCGCAUACUCCUAAGAGCAUCCUUGGGCUUCUGGUCCCUGCCUUGAGAGGGGACAGCCCAAGGAUGUAGCGGGAUGGAACCAGAGGCAUACAUCAUCCUCAGCCACGCAUUAGGACAGCUGGGAGAUGUUCCAAAUGGCUGAUGGGAGUCGCUAGCAAGCCCCACACCCACCCCUGGGGUGUAGGACACCUGAGAGCAGCCUAAGGGACCCCCAGGCACAUCGAUAGUGACCCAGGAGCCCACUGUCCUGGCCACCAAGUCCAGGAAUAGGACGAUCCAAACAUCACACCAGGCACUUCCAUCUGCCGACAGACCACAGCUGCUGGGCUAUGCCUUGACUCUUGACAGCCCAGUCGAGAUGAGAAAGCCCCUUUCUCAACCUGGGACACAUCCUAGGAACAAUCACCCCAGUCUGUAUACCUUGUUAACUCAGGGGCAGCUUGUCAGCACCAUCCCAGUUCCAUUGUCAACCCCUGAGGGACCAAAGCAGAGGACAGUAACUUGCUUUUGAACACUGCACAGUGUCUGCCUGCAGGGGACACACUAGCAUGUGGCUCUGAGACUGGCAGAAACCCUGGCAGCGGAAAGAGACAAGCGGCCCUCGGAAGAUGAGGAAUAGCCAGGUUUAUGCAGCACCGGUGUGGGCUCAGAGGAGUCGCCUCCAAAGUGGGAGCACCAGGUCUUUGCUCUGGGUAACUUUUACGCCAUACAGACUUCCAAGUCUUGUUUUCCCGGCACAAGCAGCCCGGCCCUCCCCCUUCCCCAAGCAGACAGUGUGCCUUACCUAAGAAGCUGAGUAAGCAAGAUUACAAGAACAGAACUGAUCAGCAAUGCUUGGAGCAUGGCUAGCAGAGCUGCUAGCAAGGACAUGAGGCACGUUGUUGCUACAAGAUGACCAGAAGGAUGGUUUGGGCUUUCUCCAAGAAAACCAUGGUCAGCAAACACCCCCAGCUCCAUCACCUGUGGCUCCUACCUGAAGAUACAGUUUGUUUGACCUACAACAAUUUUGGCAAACUGGCCAGGAGCCCGUCCAUGCCUGUGGCAGUUCGACCCCAGCCAGGGGAAGUGGGGGACCCCCAGCAGCUGCCAGAGGUCCUUUUGCUCCAAGGAAUUCAGAGGGACUCUUCCUGAUGACAUCAGUGACCCUUGGCAUGAGGCUUCUGGAGUGAAGAAACUGAACCACCAUCCACCUUUGGUUUGGUUUGGAGGGGUCGUGGUACGUUGAAUGCCGAUUCAAGUUCCUCUGGAAGUGAGCAUGACUGAUAGAUGUGACUGUUUGUGACAGUUAUUGAUUGUAACUGAACUGGCUGUGUUGCCGCCGAAGGAAACCUUGUGAAAACAGCCGAGAUGAAAUUGUCUUGACGUUCUAACACGGGCGUCGGCGUCUGCAGGUGCAGGAAGUCAGUUUUCUAGGAGGAACGUGCAUUUCUCUUGCUGUGCCUCUGGGAUAGAAAUGUUCUCCCUGGGCUCUGAAGAACUCUUCUUUCAUCAUCUGUGAUUCCCCGAGACUGAAGAAAACAGGUCUUUGUACCCUCAAGCGGGAAAACGGAGUCAUCGCUUGUCUGUCUGGAUGGACGUCUGUGUUUAUCAAAGGUCUUUUCCUCUGUGGUAUUAUCAAAAUUAUUUUGCAAACGAGCUCUUUUUAAUUGGCUGAAAGCAAUUGCAGUGCUCAUCGAAAGUCUCAGAAAUACAAAGGAAACAGGCCAGAAGGAAGUUCAGGUGCAUGGGAUCUGGGAAUGCCUUUUGUUAAAAGAAAGGCAUUCAAAAGGGAGUUUUGCCCUAGAGCUGGUUGUUCCAUGCAUGGAAGAGAAAAUAAUGGACCAGAUAAUAUGGAUACAGAAGGUUGUGGAUGGUUUGUGGAAAAGGAACACGGAGAAAAGAAUUCAGGGAGUUCCCGUCGUGGCGCAGUGGUUAACGAAUCCGACGAGGAACCAUGAGGUUGAGGGUUCGAUCCCUGCCCUUGCUCAGUGGGUUAAGGAUCCAUCAUUGCCGUGAGCUGUGGUGUAGGUCCCAGACGCGGCUCGGAUCCCGUGUUGCUGUGGCUCUGGCGUAGGCUGGGGUCAACAGCUCCGAUUAGAACCCUAGCCUGGGAACCUCCAUAUGCCGCGGGAGCGGCCCAACAAAUGGCAAAAGAAAAAAAAAAAAAAAGAGUUCAGAUGUUCAGAACGGGUUAGGAUUAGAUUAAAUUUAAUUAGGGAACUAGAUUUUGUGAGGAAUCCUCUGGUGCAUGAUUGGAUUUGGUUCCUCUGUUACCAGAACCAAGUUCUCUUAGAAUCUUAGUUUGGACAACAGAUUAUGUGCAGGUUUCUUUGCCUUUAACUGAUGUGUAUUAGCUUUUAAAAAUUUUACUGUCACGUGAAGUGAAGUGUUGUUUCAGGGACCUGUGAUCCUAUUUAACCAAGUGUUUUAAACCUUGUUGAUAUUUUUCUGACCAGCUUCCCAAAUAUCUAAUUCUGCCCAAAGUUCUUUUGACCUCCAGAUGACUUAAGGAUAUUUCCAAGGAACUUUGGUGUAUUGAGGCAUAAUAGAC